rnacentral:rRNA from 1 species
AUUGAACGCUGGCGGUAGGCUUAACACAUGCAAGUCGAGCGGAAACGAUGGUAGCUUGCUACUAGGCGUCGAGCGGCGGACGGGUGAGUAACGCGUAGGAACCUACCCGAUAGUUGGGGAUAGCCCGGAGAAAUCCGGAUUAAUACCGAAUAAUCUCAAUCUCUACGGAGGAAAGGGGGCUUCGGCUCCCGCUAUUGGAUGGGCCUGCGUCGGAUUAGCUAGUUGGUGAGGUAAUGGCUCACCAAGGCGACGAUCCGUAGCUGUUCUGAGAGGAUGAUCAGCCACACUGGGACUGAGACACGGCCCAGACUCCUACGGGAGGCAGCAGUGGGGAAUAUUGCACAAUGGAGGAAACUCUGAUGCAGCCAUGCCGCGUGUGUGAAGAAGGCUUUCGGGUUGUAAAGCACUUUCAGUGGGGAGGAAAGGGUGUAUGUUAAUAGCAUGCAUCUGUGACGUUACCCACAGAAGAAGCACCGGCUAACUCCGUGCCAGCAGCCGCGGUAAUACGGAGGGUGCGAGCGUUAAUCGGAAUUACUGGGCGUAAAGCGCGCGUAGGUGGUUAAUUAAGUCAGAUGUGAAAGCCCAGGGCUCAACCUUGGAACUGCAUUUGAAACUGGUUAACUAGAGUUUUGUAGAGGGUGGUAGAAUUUCAGGUGUAGCGGUGAAAUGCGUAGAGAUCUGAAGGAAUACCAGUGGCGAAGGCGGCCACCUGGACAAAGACUGACACUGAGGCGCGAAGGCGUGGGGAGCAAACGGGAUUAGAUACCCCGGUAGUCCACGCAGUAAACGAUGUCUAUUAGAAGUUUGUGGCUAUAUGCCGUGGGUUUCAAAGCUAACGCAUUAAAUAGACCGCCUGGGGAGUACGGCCGCAAGGUUAAAACUCAAAUGAAUUGACGGGGGCCCGCACAAGCGGUGGAGCAUGUGGUUUAAUUCGAUGCAACGCGAAGAACCUUACCAUCCCUUGACAUCCAGAGAAUCACCUCGUAAUGACUUAGUGCCUUCGGGAACUGAGUGACAGGUGCUGCACGGCUGUCGUCAGCUCGUGUCGUGAGAUGUUGGGUUAAGUCCCGCAACGAGCGCAACCCCUAUCUUUAGUUGCCAGCACGUAAUGGUGGGAACUCUAGAGAGACUGCCGGUGAUAAGCCGGAGGAAGGUGGGGACGACGUCAAGUCAUCAUGGCCCUUACGGGAUGGGCUACACACGUGCUACAAUGGUGCAUACAGAGGGUUGCCAACCAGCGAUGGGGAGCUAAUCCCAGAAAGUGCAUCUUAGUCCGGAUUGGAGUCUGCAACUCGACUCCAUGAAGUUGGAAUCGCUAGUAAUCGCGAAUCAGCAACGUCGCGGUGAAUACGUUCCCGGGCCUUGUACACACCGCCCGUACGGCAUGGGAGUGGGCUGCAAAAGAAGUGACUAGUCUAACCUUCGGGAGGACGGUCACCACUUUGUGGUUCAUGACUGGGGUGAAG